UAAGGAAUAUUGGACAAUGGUCGCAAGACUGAUCCAGCCAUGCCGCGUGCAGGAAGACGGCCCUAUGGGUUGUAAACUGCUUUUGUACCAGAGAAAACCUAUCUACGUGUAGAUAGCUGAUAGUAUGGUAAGAAUAAGCAUCGGCUAACUUCGUGCCAGCAGCCGCGGUAAGACGAAGGAUGCAAGCGUUAUCCGGAUUCAUUGGGUUUAAAGGGUGCGUAGGCGGGCUUGUAAGUCAGUGGUGAAAUCUCUCAGCUUAACUGAGAAACUGCCAUUGAUACUGCAGGCCUAGAGUAUAGAUGACGUUGGCGGAAUAUGACAUGUAGUGGUGAAAUCCUUAGAUAUGUCAUAGAACACCGCUUGCGAAGGCAGCUAACGAAACUAUAACUGACGCUGAGGCACGAAAGUGCGGGGAUCAAAC
rnacentral:rRNA from 1 species